AGCAGCCGCGGUAAUUCCAGCUCCAAUAGCGUAUAUUAAAGUUGUUGCAGUUAAAAAGCUCGUAGUUGAAUUUCGGGGUUAGUAGGCUGGUCGUGCCACUGGUACGUACUGGUCUCACUGACUCCUCCUUCCUGAUGAACUGUAAUGCCAUUAAUUUGGUGUUGCGGGGAAACUGGACUGUUACUUUGAAAAAAUUAGAGUGUUUAAAGCAAGCUAACGCUUGAAUACAUUAGCAUGGAAUAAUGAAAUAGGACGUUCGAUCCUAUUUUGUUGGUUUCUAGGAUUGACGUAAUGAUUAAUAGGGAUAGUUGGGGGCAUUAGUAUUCAAUUGUCAGAGGUGAAAUUCUUGGAUUUAUUGAAGACUAACUACUGCGAAAGCAUUUGCCAAGGAUGUUUUCAUUAAUCAAGAACGAAAGUUAGGGGAUCGAAGACGAUCAGAUACCGUCGUAGUCUUAACCAUAAACUAUGCCGACUAGGGAUCGGAUGAUGUAAUUUUUAAUGACUCAUUCGGCGCCUUACG
rnacentral:rRNA from 1 species